rnacentral:tRNA from 1 species
GGUGAGAUGGCCGAGUUGGUUAUGGCGCCAGGUUAAGGUUUCUCUUAACAUUAAUUCCUGGUCACGAAAGUGGCGUGGGUUCGAGUCCCACUCUCAUCA